GGGGCUAACACUUCCCAAAUCGAUGGGUUCGACGGCGAGGAAGAUGAGAACGAUGAAGAUGGAUGAUCGACCUGGGUUCUCAUUGCAGAUAGAGAAAGCCAUGUCUCUGCCUCAAUCAGCGCCAACCUCACGUCGUACAAACACAGCGUCGACCUCAGGACACGACAUUAUCUCUCGGCCUCACUGAUUUGACAUCUUCAAGAGAAAAACGACGGUGUUGUGAUUUGAGAGGAACGAGACCUUCAAAUGGCGUAGGCAAAGUCCAAGGGAAAAGACAAAUUAAUCUCUGCAAGUAAGGGAAAAAAAGAUGCAUUUCCAGUGGUAUGAUUCUUUACCCAUUAUUUCUUUUUAGUUUCAAUAUAUCUUGAAAAGAGAAAUGGCAAUAUUGCGCUUCGAGAGGAACGCGGUCUGAAUCUGAAUUUCUAGAUGUAUUCUCUUGAUUUAAUCUCUUUUUUAAAAAAGUUGUUGUUCUGACCCUUUUCCUGAAUAUCUAGAUUGUGGAGUGUAGUAGUUGCAACCCUUUUCUUGGAUGUAUUCUCAUAGGUCUUUGCUAGAGGAGUAGAUGUAGAUACUGUAGUAUUGAUGGCUGCGAGAGCCUCCAGGGUGGAAAACCGAGAUGCAAUGGACACUGCUAUUGUAGGAACAUUGAGCUAUUGUAGGAGCAUUGAUCGAUCUGAAAAGGGGCAUCUUGAUCGAUUAGUAUAUGAACUUUAUAUUACAUAAGGUUGCAGUAGCUGAAAACAAUGCACUUAAAUUAUCAAUUGGAUCUUCCAUUGGAUGAUUUGGUGACCAUUUCUUCUCUUAAUGUGUACUUCUAUAUUUCCCCCGCAUGAUUUGUGCUGAACAUAAGGCAAGGGCUGGCAUUUAAUCUCGCACACAAUAAAUCAGAAAUAAAGCGGAGAGUUCAUGCUGUGAUUGACAAGUUUGUAGAGCGAUUGUGGUUUCCAAAAAGAGUUAAGUUACCAUUGAAAUCGAGUUAAAAACAACCGUUGUAUCCAAAAAAAAUUUGGAAAACUAGAGCUUGAUACUUCAUUUAGGCUGCGGUUAGAAUGCGUUAGAUUUUAGAUGGAGUUAAGUUAAAAAUUGCUGCAAUUCAAACAAUGGAGUUCAACCAUGAGGCUUCCAGUUCUAGGUAAUGGAAGAUGCACAGUGCAGGUUUCCCCAAUAUUGUUGCCAAAUGCUAUUAGUUAAACAUGGGCUUGUGCCACUUUUCCCUUUCAUAACUGGUAAGAAGUUUAAAUAUUUACUCGCAUUUCAUUUCCUUGUCAUUCUAUGAUUUCUAUCUUAUGGAGUUGUUUGAUGCAAAGUGCCAUAUUUUUUUGUCACAAACUGCAACAAGUGGAUAGCAAAUCUGUUGCCAUGUAGAACUUCCAAUCGAACAAACUUUACUUUGAUGCUAGCCCUUUCAUCAUAAAUUCUAGGUACUUGUGUAUAUAUAAAGCCCUUGAUCAAACUUAUGCAGAUUGCUUUUGCUAGACUCGUCUGCUUUUACCAUGGCUCCCAACAAAUUGAUUAAACCAAAUAUGCGUAAAACUAUGACCCACCUAAACAAAGAAGACUACUUAUUCAAGUGUGGGUGCCUUUGUUUUGAACAAGGACAUCCACAAUUGAGAGGUAAAAAGCAAUAGCUAGAUGGAUGGCAUAUUCAUUAGUGUCCAUAUUUAGUUGUCAAUAAAGUGUUCGAUACAUCGUGGACGAUAGUGAGUGUUGUUUUCAUCUUUAUCUAAUAGUAGCUGUUGUGAUUUAGUUGACAAGAUUCCUUUGUUUUUGUGGCACUGAUGGUACCUAGAAAAUUCAUUUUCGCAAGAGAACUAUCACCCUGGCAAACCAGUUAUAAAUAACUAACGAUACGUAUAUAACGAAUAGUAGAAGAUUUAUCUUUCUCCCCUACGUUUUAAAUGUGCUAGAUCAAGUUUUGUGUCCUGCUUUUGAUGCGUCAUCACCCCAAACUUCCCUCCCAUUUUCCCUUAAGCAUGUUGUAAUGUGACAUUGGGACAAAAGAUAGAUAUCAUGCAACAAAUACACAAUUUGGGAAAGUAAACAGAGGUAGAACAAUGGAAUUUCGCCAUACAAUUUGCUCUUGGAGCUAAUUUCGAUCUUAUCCUUUUCAGGUAUGAUGGGUGAUUGUAUGGGUUAACGGCAGGAUUAUAAUCACCCUUUGAUGCUGUCCUUGGCAUAGAUUAGUAGUUUGCUUGCUGAAGCAAUAAGCCUUUACACUCUUAAGUUGACCAUUGAUUAUGAGCUUCAAUUGAUUCUAUGUAUUGUUUUCUACCUUUAAUCGUUGGCUAAGAAUUUUAGUUAAGUGUCAAAUGAAAUAGUAUACAUUGGGUUCUCUCCACUUGCAUGAAGACUUUUCGAUGGUUUGGAGUCGAAAACUUCCAUAUUGUCCCACCUCUAAUUGUGUGGACGCUGAUUCGGCAACUUUAGUGGAAGUGUGGCGUCUCUUCAGCCUUUGAGAUGGGAUAAGACCUUUGGUCUUAUAUGCGUCAAGUCGUUGACAUUCUCACAUAUUGCACUGUUGUUUAUUUUGUAAGAUAUUUGUUCUGCUACAAAACGUCAUAUUCGAUUGUAGGUUAACUGCCUUAGCAUUU